rnacentral:rRNA from 1 species
UGCUGACGAGCGGCGGACGGGUGAGUAAUGCUUGGGAACUUGCCUUUAGGAGGGGGAUAACCAUUGGAAACGAUGGCUAAUACCGCAUAACGUCUACGGACCAAAGCAGGGGAUCUUCGGACCUUGCACCUAGAGAUAGGCCUAAGUGAGAUUAGCUAGUUGGUGGGGUAAAGGCCCACCAAGGCGACGAUCUCUAGCUGUUCUGAGAGGAUGAUCAGCCACACUGGGACUGAGACACGGCCCAGACUCCUACGGGAGGCAGCAGUGGGGAAUAUUGCACAAUGGGGGAAACCCUGAUGCAGCCAUGCCGCGUGUGUGAAGAAGGCCUUCGGGUUGUAAAGCACUUUCAGUGGUGAGGAAGGCUUGUAGCUUAAUACGCUACAAGAUUGACGUUAGCCACAGAAGAAGCACCGGCUAACUCCGUGCCAGCAGCCGCGGUAAUACGGAGGGUGCAAGCGUUAAUCGGAAUUACUGGGCGUAAAGCGUACGUAGGCGGCUCAUUAAGCAAGAUGUGAAAGCCCCGGGCUCAACCUGGGAAUGGCAUUUUGAACUGGUGAGCUAGAGUUUUGAAGAGGGUGGUAGAAUUUCCAGUGUAGCGGUGAAAUGCGUAGAUAUUGGAAGGAAUACCAGUGGGCGAAGGCGGCCCCCUGGUCAAAAACUGAAGCCUGAAGUACGAAAGCCGUGGGGAGCAAACAGGAUUAGAUACCCCUGGUAGUCCACGCCCGUAAACCGAUGUCAACCUAGUUGUUCCGUCUUAUAAAACAAGGGGAGUAACGCAGCUUAC